ACCUGGCUGUCUAGUGGUUAGGAUUUGGCGUUCUUACUGCUGCGGCGGGUUCGAUUCUCGGUCAGGGA